rnacentral:rRNA from 1 species
CCUACGGGAGGCAGCAGUCGAGAAUCAUUCACAAUGGGGGAAACCCUGAUGGUGCGACGCCGCGUGGGGGAAUGAAGGUCUUCGGAUUGUAAACCCCUGUCAUGUGGGAUCAAAUUAAAGAGAUAGUACCACAAGGGGAAUAGCCGGCUAACUCUGUGCCAGCAGCCGCGGUAAUGCAGAGGUCUCAAGCGGUGUUCGGAAUCACUGGGCGUAAAGCAUGCGUAGGCUGUUUCGUAAGUCGUGUGUGAAAGGCGUGGGCUCAACCCUCGGACUGCACAUGAUACUGGGAGACUAGAGUAAUGGAGGGGGAAGCGGAAUUCGUGGUGUAGCAGUGAAAUGCGUAGAUAUCGAGAGGAACACUCGUGGCGAAGGCGGGUUGCUGGACAGUAACUGACGCUGAGGCACGAAGGCCAGGGGAGCGAAAGGGAUUAGAUACCCAAGUAGUC